CCUACGGGCGGCAGCAGUGGGGAAUUUUGGACAAUGGGCGCAAGCCUGAUCCAGCCAUGCCGCGUGCGGGAAGAAGGCCUUCGGGUUGUAAACCGCUUUUGUCAGGGAAGAAACGCCUUGGGCUAAUACCUCGAGGUAAUGACGGUACCUGAAGAAUAAGCACCGGCUAACUACGUGCCAGCAGCCGCGGUAAUACGUAGGGUGCAAGCGUUAAUCGGAAUUACUGGGCGUAAAGCGUGCGCAGGCGGUCUUGCAAGACAGAUGUGAAAUCCCCG
rnacentral:rRNA from 1 species